rnacentral:sRNA from 1 species
UUGUAAAAGUCUGGGCAGCAGCUGUGCCUGCGUGAAAGCUUGCUUGCACGCAGGCACAGAUAUUGCCCAGGCUACCCCAUAUGAACAAGUAGGCCGAUAGGCCGGAUUGUGAAUAUGGGGUGGAUUGCGGGAGCGCGAAGCGCGGAGCAAUCCACUUUUACAA